rnacentral:rRNA from 1 species
CCUACGGGAGGCAGCAGUGGGGAAUUUUUGGACAAUGGGCGCAAGCCUGAUCCAGCAAUGCCGCGUGCAGGAUGAAGGCCUUCGGGUUGUAAACUGCUUUUGUACGGAACGAAACGGCCCUUUCUAAUACAAGGGGCUAAUGACGGUACCGUAAGAAUAAGCACCGGCUAACUACGUGCCAGCAGCCGCGGUAAUACGUAAGGUGCGAGCGUUAAUCGGAAUUACUGGGCGUAAAGCGAGCGCAGGCGGUUAUAUAAGACAGAUGUGAAAUCCCCGGGCUCAACCUGGGACCUGCAUUUGUGACUGUAUAGCUAGAGUACGGUAGAGGGGGAUGGAAUUCCGCGUGUAGCAGUGAAAUGCGUAGAUAUGCGGAGGAACACCGAUGGCGAAGGCAAUCCCCUGGACCUGUACUGACGCUCAUGCACGAAAGCGUGGGGAGCAAACAGGAUUAGAUACCCUGGUAGUCCACGCCCUAAACGAUGUCAACUGGUNUUGGGUCUUCACUGACUCAGUAACGAAGCUAACGCGUGAAGUUGACCGCCGNGGAGGACGGCCGGCGAGUUAGAACGUACGAAAGAAGUAGUUAGACGGCGNGAGAGCGACGACGACGACGACGGAGGAGGAG